rnacentral:lncRNA from 1 species
UAAAUAAACCACUCCAUUGCAGAAAAGCGUGGGCAGGCAGGACUUCACUCCACUGCAGCCCCGGGAAGUCGAAAUAAACAUUGAGGAUGGCUUGGCAUCUUCUUCCGAGCAAGCGCAGCUCUCAGGCCGGGCCUGAGCCUGCAGCCUGUGUGCCCUCCAUCAUCAGGGCCCCCUCUCAGGACAGGCUACACCGAGGGUGGGACGGCGGACUUCCAGGGACACUUCCAAGUCGUGCCCAUGCAGGAUACCUCAGUAUACACUGCCCACAGUUAAGAAACCACGACCUGAGACAUUGUUUUGAAGAGGUGAAAAUGCCUCCACUCAAGUGGCCCAGGAGCGUGAUCCAGGAAGACGAACACACAGAACCAUCUUCUGCAUGGUUUGAAAAUUCAGUGGAAACUAGGGACUCCAAGCUGCUGUCCCCUCUCUGCCGCAUCUGAGGCUGGGAAAACUUCCUAGGAGAAGGCAAGAGAAAGCCACCAGACCAGAGCCGAGGACUAAACUUUAAGGUCGAAGACGGCAGAGGGGCAGGUUCUCCCCUGCACACCCCAAGGCCUCUCCUGCACCCGCGAGGCCUUCCUUGAGCGCCCAGGCCCCCGAAAUGCCUGCCCUCCUUCUGACAAAAGGAGGGGGUAGGAUGUGAAGGGGUAGUGCAACCAACAAUGUUUUUGUAAACACAACAACAGGGAAAUACAUGGAGGAAAUCUA